rnacentral:rRNA from 1 species
AGAGUUUGAUCAUGGCUCAGAAUCAACGCUGGCGGCGCGCCUAACACAUGCAAGUCGCACGAGAAAGCGGGAGCAAUCUCGCAAGUACAGUGGCGUACGGGUGAGUAACACGUGGAUCAUCUACCCUGGAGUGGGGAAUAACGCUGGGAAACCGGCGCUAAUACCGCAUAUUCCCGAGAGGGGAAAGCAGCAAUACGCUCGAGGAGGAGUCCGCGGCCGAUUAGCUAGUUGGUAGGGUAAAAGCCUACCAAGGCUGUGAUCGGUAGCCGGCCUGAGAGGGCACACGGCCACACUGGCACUGAAACACGGGCCAGACUCCUACGGGAGGCAGCAGUGGGGAAUCUUGCACAAUGGGGGAAACCCUGAUGCAGCGACGCCGCGUGAGCGAUGAAGCCCUUCGGGGUGUAAAGCUCUUUCGGCAGGGAAGUAUUAUGACGGUACCUGCAGAAGCAGCCUGCCGGCUAACUACGUGCCAGCAGCCGCGGUA